UUAGAGUUUGAUCCUGGCUCAGGAUGAACGCUAGCGGCGGGCCUAAUACAUGCAAGUCGAGCGCCCCUUUCGGGGGGAGCGGCGGACGGGUGCGUAACGCGUAUGCAACUUGCCCUUCAGCGGGGGAUAACGUUCGGAAACGGGCGCUAAUACCGCGUGGAUUUGCGACCUCGCAUGGGGAUGCAAAUAAAGCCUUCGGGCACUGAGGGAUGGGCAUGCGUCAGAUUAGUUAGUUGGUGAGGUAACGGCUCACCAAGGCAACGAUCUGUAGCUGGUCUGAGAGGAUGAUCAGCCACACUGGCACUGAGACACGGGCCAGACUCCUACGGGAGGCAGCAGUAGGGAAUAUUGGUCAAUGGGCGAAAGCCUGAACCAGCCACGCCGCGUGCGGGAAGACGGCCCACAGGGUUGUAAACCGCUUUUUUCGCAGAAUAAGCUAGUAUUUGUUAUUAGUAGAAGGUAUGCGAAGAAUAAGCACCGGCAAACUACGUGCCAGCAGCCGCGGUAAUACGUAGGGUGCAAGCGUUGUCCGGAUUUACUGGGUUUAAAGGGUACGUAGGCGGCUGGCUAAGUCGGCGAUGAAAUACCGGAGCUUAACUCCGGUGCUGUUGCCGAUACUGGCGAGCUAGAGCGCGGAUGAGUUGCUGGAAUAGACGGUGUAGCGGUGAUAUGCGUAGAGAUCGUUCUGGAACAUCGAUUGCGA
rnacentral:rRNA from 1 species